UAUGCUAAAUAACCCAAAGUAAUAUAACAAAAUAUCAAACAACAACACUCGAAACUGUGUUGAUAAGAAUAUCGUUUACAGGAAUUAUAUUAUCAGUUAAAUGCGCUUUGGUGUGAAAAUAAUUUAAUGAGCCAAUUCUCUUUCAAGAUAUCGGCGCAUGUGACAUUGAUUUAAAUGGGUAAUAGCACACACUACUGUGUGAUAAACUAGCCGUGUUGCUUUGUCGUAAAAACAACGAACCAUGGUUUUAAUUAAACUAAUAUAUAGUGUUGUAAUAUCUUCAUGCAUCAAUAGUGCAAAUACGCAAAGUACAUUUGCACUGGAGACUACACCUGUAGACCUAACAACUACGGUGAGUUCUCUUUCUUCAGCCGGUGACAUUCGCAUAUCAUUUCAUCCAGAUACGUCGUCCGACCCCACUACAUCGCAGCAGCCGCUUGCAAAGACGCCAUGGGAUACCAUUUUAUCUAUGCCGUGUAUUAUCCCAAUUGCCGCUGGUUGGGGCCUCGUGGUUAUACUUAUUGUGAUACUUGUUAUUUGCGUAAGAAAAAGACAAAAGGAAAACGCAAUGUAUAAAGCAGAGCUGAGGCACGAUUUGCAGAAAACCCCAAGAUUGGAGUCAUAUGAUAAGCUGAAAAGUGGACACUAUUCAAAUGACUUUCUUGAAGACACAUCACGCGGAUAUUCCGAGGUUAAAGAAUUUAAGAUGGCAAGAGAUUUGCGAACGGAAUACGAAACCGUGAACGAGGUGCUGAGUAACAAUGCAGCUUGUUGCGCUCCAGUGUCGUCCAAUGAUAAACUUGACUGUCAACACUAUGUCAACACGUAUUCGAAAGAAACCACACACGGAUAUACUAAUGUCACAAAAUUCAGAAUGAAUGUAAAACAUUGACUCGUGUACCGUACACAAUACUUGUGAAUAUCGACUCUUUCUUGUGUAUGACACAGUCGAAUAUUGAUCGGGCGAAAUGACCGGACGCUCGUAAGGACGUAUGGUAAUUUAAGGUCAUUCUCCAAAAGAAAAAGUGAACAAAAAAAGAAAUGAACUGUAAUAUAAUAAUUGUCAUCAUUU